CCUCAUCCUCGUAAUUCCCGAGAUUAAAAGUGAUCAAGGCUUGUUUUGUAACUUUAACUUCUGAGCAUUUAUUAAGCCACUAAAGGUGAUACAACUUAGGGUGCUCGGUACAAGAUAACUUGAUAGGGGGUUGCACGUGGACCAAGAUCGAGUUGUCAAGUCACAAAAAAAUCCUACAAAAAUGAUAGACACUUGGAUCUGAAACAAAAACAGAAAAUCAAUCUUAGCAGCAAUAGAUCUAUAAAGAAACGC
rnacentral:lncRNA from 1 species